rnacentral:lncRNA from 1 species
AAAAAAGUCCUAUUGAUUUUAAUUAUGCUACUGUCAUUAUGUCUUCAAGCAUCUCAUCUCCUGCUGUCGGAUAGAAGUGAUUGGCUUGUUCAGUCCCUUUGGCUUGGGUGAAGCUGACUGAGAACGGGACAUAGUCAUACGCUUUUAAUCCCUAAUUUUUGCCUGGACCGCCUUUUCAGGUUUUCAGUCCACCAGGAUACCCUUUUUUGCCCAAGCCGCCUUUUGGGGUUUUCGACUUGCCGGGUGUAUAUUUU